AUUAAAUUCACAUCACCCAGAUAAACACACAAGUUUAUACUUUCAAACAUGCUCUAUCUUAAGUCCCUCUUAUGGGUUGCAUCACCAAAUCCUUCCCACUAGGGAGGGGGACAUGCCACUUGUAAAUAAUUUCAAAAGCUAACCCCGAUAUAAAACAGUUUGAGUUUUACUAUUUAAAGAACUAGCAAGUAAACUUUUUCUUCUCCAAAUUAGUAAAAUAGACCCUGGCUCCGAAAAAAUACAGCCUUCCCCAAACUGUACAGGGUUCAUAAUAUCAACAAACUAAAUAUACAUUCACUUUUUGAAAACCAAUUAUGGAAGCAGACAAUUACUUGAUACUUAGAAUAGUUCGAUCUUAUUAUUCCUUAUGGAUCAAGGGGGAGUUGACACCAAAAUAUCACAACCAAAGAUAAAAAUUAUAUUUUCAUUGUCAUUCAAUAUUAAACACCAUUACUACCAAAUUGGGGUGAUGAAAGCUUCCUCUUUUAAGAGGGAAAGAAAUUGAAAAGUUACUAACCUAAAAUUUUAUAGAGCUUCAAGAUUUAACAAGCCAAAUUAAGUGGCACAAAAGAAAAUUAUCAAUCAUAUAAAAAUAAAAGCAUGUCCAUCCGUCAUCGUUGCCAAUAUGUCUAAUUACAUAUAAAGAUCCAUCUUAAACCAUACAUUAUCUAUUUCUAGCUCCAUCUUACCAAAAGUCCUUGAGUAGAUAAAUAUCAGUACAUGGACCAAACCUGAGCACCUAAUCUUUGUAAUCAAUUUUAUUAUGCAGCGUCACAUUCAAAAGAUCGUUCAUCCGUGAUAUAUACUACUUGGUGCAGGACAAGCCCGCAAAAUUUGGUUAGAACAAUAUAAAAAUAUAAAAGGCUUUGAAAGUUCAUGGAUUAGAAGCUGUAUUUUAAUUAAUUUUCUUAAUUCAUUACUUUGGUAGUUAUCUUAUUACAAUUUAAGUCAGGGGAGUUGGUUAGGAGUAUUAAAAUUAUGGAUGCACUCUAUUACGUUGAACUAUUAAAAUUGAUCGAGAUUUUUUGAGAAUUGUUGUGUGAAAAAUAUCCAUCACCCCAAAAAACCUGUGUUAAAUUCCGCGUAGGUCCCUUUCUCCUCAUAAGCUCCCGAAUUUUCCCGUAUUGUUUUUUUUUUGUAAAGAUGUAUAUGUUUUAUAAAUCUCUCUCAAUAGAUUACAUAUUUGCCCUCAUAGUUUAUUAGUUUUGGUAAAAACUAUUAAACCAUCCCCCACACUUUUAAUCCUUUUAGUUUUAUCUUUGUUAUUGUAAUUUGUCCUUUCUCCUCAUAAGCUGCCAGAUUUUCCCGUAUUGUUUUGUAAAGAUGUAUAUGUUUUAUAAAUAGCUCUCGAUAGAUUACAUAUUUUCCCUCAUAGUUUUGAUAAAAACUUUAAACCAUCCUCGCACUAUUAAUCCUUUUAGUUUUAUCUUUGUUAUUGUAGUUUGUUCCCCUUUAGUCCUUAGACCGAAAAUAAUAAUUAAACAAUACAUCCAUAUUUAUAAUAGCCGGACUGGAAUCGUUGGUUCAAUCGGUAAAACUAGGAACCGGUUGGUAAUCCUAGUCGACUUUAGACCAUAUAACUGGAAGUUGCCAAAACUCGCCCAAAAUCGAUAACUCGUCGGUCGAACAACUCAACUCGGCGAACCAAUAACCGAGUUCCGAUUUUCUCCAAAUCUUUCCACCAUCAUCAUAUAGUCCCAAAAAAAUUAGAGUUUUUACAUUGUUUUACCAACAUCCUCAUUCAUCAAACAACCUCUUCCAUCAACUUGGUCUUCUACAAUUUUAAUCUAAGAAAGAGAGAAAAAUAGUAAAAGUCGUCUAAAAUAUGGAGAGGAAAAGAGUGAUGGAGAAGAAAAGAGAGAUGGAGAGGCAAGAGGCAGCUGUGUGUAGGCUUUAGGCUGGAGAAGGAAACGAAUAUGUUUUAUCAUAAACCUAAUCAAUGGUCAAAAAACUAAGGAGAUAUUUUGUCACUUUGGAUUUUUAUUGUUUAUUUUUUUAAAUAGCUAAAGACUAUAAUGUGAACUAGGUUUUAGGUCGAGGUGGUUAAGACAUAAAUAAAUCACGAACAAUUGAACAUUGUUAUUGUUUUAAUACAAUUUCGAACUAUUAAAACAAUUCAAAAUAAUACAUUUAACUCUUUUUUUUCCUCUUUUUUUGGAUACGCACCCAUUGUCUUGAGUAUUGCCUUCGUUCCAAAAAAAAGUUUUAUUUACAAUUUUUUGUUUCACAAAAUUAGUCCCCCAUUUUAAUAAAAAUACCAUAAAAUGAUAUAACAUUGUCAUUAACCAUCUUAAUCUCUUUAUCAUACCAAACUACUAAAAAUUAACAACUCAUUUUUAAAGAAAUUACAUAGAACAAAAGGUUAUUCAUAAUAUUUACAAACUUUUUAAAU
rnacentral:lncRNA from 1 species